rnacentral:tRNA from 1 species
GGUUGUAGCUCAGUGGUAGAGCACUUGCCUCGCAAGUCUGAGGCACUGGGUUUGAUUCUCAGUGCCA